GGGCCCAUGGUCUAGCGGCUAUGACAUCACCCUUACAAGGUGAGGAUCCCCGGUUCGAUUUGAAGCGAGCAAAAAUUCAUUUCACGAAUUUCCGGGUGGGCCCA
rnacentral:tRNA from 1 species